AAAUUUCAAAAUAGUUUUGAAUUAUGAGAAAUUAGGAUAUGUGCUAGAUCAUGGAAUCCCCGUGUUACCAAUCUAUCCAAUCACUGAUCAGCGUAAGACGCAUGCUAAGUGGACGAACAAUGACAAUAAAGUUAGGUGCUGUACAAUGGCAUCCAUGUCCAAUGAAUUACAAUGCUAGCAUGAGAACAUGAGACUGCCAGGGACAUAUUAAAUCACCUGCAAGAGUUGUAUGGUGAUCAGAGUCACGCAGCUCGGUUUGAAGUUUCCAAGAGGCUCUU
rnacentral:lncRNA from 1 species